AAUUGUUGAUUUUUCAGUCUGUUCACCUCUUUACUUGUUAAGACAAGUGCCAAUUCCCAGGCUCCUUCCACGUGGAACUGGAAACUAAAGUCUGGCUCUAUUUUCCGCUAAGGAUUUAUUCUGGCACCUAUCAGUACAAAACUGAAGUCAGAAAAUAUCUAGGAGGUGCUUAGGAGGGAAGGAAAAAGAACCUGGGGCCUGAAUCACAGUACAAAAGGAUCAUUUGCUCCUGAGCCCAAUGAACAUGCCCUGGGGUGAUGGAGAAAGAAGCUCCCUCCUAUCCACAGAGCUGCUCAUCUCUCCCACCUGAUGAAAGGCCUUUGUGAAGUCGAGGCCUUUGAUAAGAAUUCGUAUGGGAUCCAAACAUAUCACCCUACCUCCCGGGAUUAUUGAGAGGAAUCAAUGAGCCAGAAAACUUCUGCUGACUUUGAUCCAACCCAAUACUAGUUACUUUAAUAAAAAAAAAAAGGUAUGUUUGUUUUGAAAACAAAAUCACAACAUCAGGUUGAAGAGCUGUGGUUGCCCUGAACUUUCUGAUUGAUUCUAUUCAUGGGUAUAUGUAAAUUACAGCAAAGUUUAUUCACAUGAUACAGAAAGCCAGGAAAGGGAAAGUAUUUACAGAUUCUUUCAGGGGAAUUGUUUUGUAAGUUAAUGAUUGACUUUGAGAUGACUUUUCCCUCUAGUGAUUGGAAACUGUCCGGGAGGCAACUGUGGUCACUACUUUACAACAUGGCAGUAAAUUUCAAUAAUAACCCAACUGAUAUUUAUUGCACAGGACAUCGUAUGGGUUUUGGGUCUGGGAAGGAAAAUAAAUUUGCCCCAGCUUCUGUAGAGCUACAGUCCAAUGUGGAAAAAGGAGGACAUGAGGCUGACAGCAGCAGGCGCUCAAAGCAAUAAGAUAAAAUGAAGAGCACCAAAGUCCCCUGCCUGUGUGUUAUGAUGGGCAAAUAUCUCUGCUUUCCUUCUCCUUGGGAGGCAGAGGGGCCAUGCCAAGUGCAUGUGUGAGGGGAGGACCAGUGUGUGUGACUGGAACCCCUGGGCACAGUGUGUGCAGGAAGCAGUGAGCACCCCAGCUGGCAAGGGAGGGUCAACAAUGGAGCUGACAGGGCAGAAGCAGGAAAUGAGGGUAUGAGACAGGAUGAAGGUCUUAAGGUCAUGCUGCACGUCAAGGACAUUGCUGGUCGAGAAAACUGCAAGUCAACACUCCCAGGCUCCUAACAUUACUGGGAGACCCUGCUUCCUUAAUAUCCCAUAAAUCACAGAACUACCCAGAUAAAUAAACUCACUGAAUGACCCUCUUUGCUGCUAUCACUAAACCGGUAGUUUUCCCAGAGUUGCUUAGUCUUACCCUAAAGACUAGAGAAGGAAAAACUGAACUGGCACUCACUAACUACAAGUGGAUGAAAUGUCAGUGUGCAAAUGCUGUGCCUCCCUGCCUCAGUGCUCCCAGCAUGCCCUCAUCCUAACUCCGGCUUGUGUGCACUGCAGCUCUUUCCCACGCUCGUUUCUGUGUGUGCGUGCACGCGCAUGCGCCCGCUUUCACUGUCACGUGUAUGUCAUCACGUACUUGCUUCCCAGGGCCCUCUCUCAGGUGAGGACGCCCUUUCAAGGCUCUCCCUCGUCCCCUGUGUCUAGGGCGUCUGCAGGGAAACCCCUGUUGUCAGUGUUCAUGUUCCCAGUUCUCUCCGCUCAGCCUGACAGAGCCCAGGACUUCUCUUCAGCCCAAAUCAGCCAUGCAGUGCGAGCUUUACUUCUAAGGAUUUGCCGUCGCCUUUGAAGUGUGAUGGGAGGCCCUAGGCUUUCUGCUUGCCUCCACUGAUGCCUAAAAUGGAACCAGGAGAGAGUCAUUCACCUGUACUCAGAAUGUCAUUUUCCCAAUACCCUUUUUUAAAAGCUUUCCCAUGAGCAGCAAAGAGCACUGUGUCAGGAAGCCAGAUUCUCCAGGAAGCCUGAGACCUAUGAGGCAUUGGGCAAGUCGCCCAGGCUCGUCUGCUCCGACCACGGGCACCACCCUGGCUGCCCCGGGCUGCCUGAGAGGCAGAUGAAAUAACGUGGGACAGUGCUUGGCCAAGGGCUUGGCGCGGAGCAAGUCCCCAGGGACGACAGCUUUCCUCAUGACCUCCUCAGCUUCUCAUCUCUAAACUGGAGCUCACACUGCCUUCCGUCUACCUGGAACAGGUGACCCAGGAACCUGCCUCUAUGCCCACCCCUCUUCAAGGUCAGCUUCCUUUAGCAUCGUGGCUUUCGAACACGGUUAAUCUCAACUCACUGUAAGAAAUAUAUUUCACAACAUGAAUCCAGCAUGCACACAUGUACAACUGAAUAAGGGUUUUAUAAAACA